CUGAUGCAGCGACGCCGCGUGAGGGAUGACGGCCUUCGGGUUGUAAACCUCUUUCAGUAGGGAAGAAGCGAAAGUGACGGUACCUGCAGAAGAAGCACCGGCUAACUACGUGCCAGCAGCCGCGGUAAUACGUAGGGUGCGAGCGUUAUCCGGAAUUAUUGGGCGUAAAGAGCUCGUAGGCGGUUUGUCGCGUCUGUCGUGAAAGUCCGGGGCUUAACCCCGGAUCUGCGGUGGGUACGGGCAGACUAGAGUGCAGUAGGGGAGACUGGAAUUCCUGGUGUAGCGGUGGAAUGCGCAGAUAUCAGGAGGAACACCGAUGGCGAAGGCAGGUCUCUGGGCUGUAACUGACGCUGAGGAGCGAAAGCAUGGGGAGCGAACAGGAUUAGAUACCCUGGUAGUCCAUGCCGUAAACGUUGGGCACUAGGUGUGGGGACCAUUCCACGGUUUCCGCGCCGCAGCUAACGCAUUAAGUGCCCCGCCUGGGGAGUACGGCCGCAAGGCUAAAACUCAAAGGAAUUGACGGGGGCCCGCACAAGCGGCGGAGCAUGCGGAUUAAUUCGAUGCAACGCGAAGAACCUUACCAAGGCUUGACAUGUUCUCGAUCGCCGUAGAGAUACGGUUUCCCCUUUGGGGCGGGUUCAC
rnacentral:rRNA from 1 species